CUCGCAGGGCGUGAUUCGGUUACACUCAAAUAUGGCUACCAUGGAGUCAAAGCUACAACUUUAAUAUUUGUACCAAUGCAGAAAUUUAACGUUUUACGUUAUUCUCCGUUCUACAGUCGCGUCUAAUAAUCGUUUUUCGCUCGUACAAAUUGCGAAUACCCAGGAAAGUAGAUCAUCUCGGCGCGUUUAGCGUUAAUAAAUAGCCUAUUGCUCGAAAUUGCAGCUUGCUCCGCGAGCUGAUCGAAGUCGUCAGGAUUGAAAGCUUGAAAGCGACGUCUGCUUUCGGUUUUCUCUCAUUCGAGGAUAUUUUGGGCUGUAUUUUCCCGAAUGUGGCCAGGGCUCGGCUCCUGUCAUCGGUCGGUAUGGCUUGUUUUCGGAUGAGGGAGGAUUUGGCGAUGUGGGAUGAAGCGGAAUAAAGAAAAGUGAUCCGCUCAAACCGAGGGAAAGCGGCUGCGUUCUGUCUGUGGAUUACACAUUGCAGAUGUUCCGCACAUAAAAGUGGAUUUUACUGGAAUACGUGUUCAGAAUCGCAGAAGAUAUCGCUUUGUCACGCUGGCUUAUUUUCCUGAGGAAUAGUGGUGUAUUCCUCCCCAACCCCCCCAGCGCCACAAACACCAAACAAAAGUACUAUAAGUCACGUAUAUGACGGUUCAUGUCAUGAAGGAAAUAAAUAAAAAUCGCUAGGGUCGAAGAGAAUGUCAUCAGAGGAGAAAAGUCUAGACCCCUCUGACAAAGGACCCUCGCCACCUCCUAGCAGCUCUGGGGCCACUCCCACUGGAAGUCCGGCCCCCACAGAUAAGCGGCCCCGGGGCCGCCCUCGUAAGGACGUGUUAUCCACAGCAACACCGCUUCAGUCUGUGCCCAGACAGAGAAAGAAGAAUCGGGGGCGAGGGAAAGCUCUGGUGGAGGAUGAAGACAGCACAGAUGGAAUGGAGACUGCAGAAACAGGAAGCACACAGGAGACAGUCACUAAAGGGGAGCAGGAGGAGACGGCGGGCGCCUCUGCCGUGGCAGUUUCAGCAGAGGGGGAGGAAGAGGAGCAGUUGUCAUCCCCUCUUCCUGCGAGCCCUGAGACGGGGGCGGCACAAACAUCAUCAGCCUCU
rnacentral:lncRNA from 1 species